rnacentral:rRNA from 1 species
UACGAAGGGGGCGAGCGUUGUUCGGAUUUACUGGGCGUAAAGGGCGCGUAGGCGGCCGAUCAAGUCAGGCGUGAAAGCCCCCGGGCUCAACCUGGGAAUGGCGCUUGGGACUGGUUGGCUUGAGUUCGGGAGAGGAGAGUGGAAUUCCCAGUGUAGAGGUGAAAUGCGCAGGAUAUCAGGAGGAACACCGGUGGCGAAGGCGGGCUCUGGGCCCGAUACUGACGCUGAGGAGCGAAAGCGUGGGAGCGAACAGGAUAGAAA